rnacentral:lncRNA from 15 species
GACCAAUCAGGUGGCCGCAUUUUGAAUCAACAGGUGAAGAAGAAUUCAAAAUGGCCGUGCCCUCGUCUUUCGUGUCCGGCAGCGUGGAGGACAACAUGACGACCAAACUUUCUCCAAAAGUGCGAUUAAAAUGUGGUUUUAAACGAUGGUUUAUGCCUCCAACGUCCAUAAAGAAAGAAGAGGUGAAAGAUUUAACUCACAGAGGGAGGAAAACAUUCAGAAACACCGUCUGUCUCAAACAACAGCCAACCAAAGAGGGAGAAGUUGAUCCAAGAUGGUGGAGAGUCUGGCAGAACAAAGGCAGAAGGGGGUGCUGGUGAGUUGGAGACACAGACGCCACCACAGAAACACUGCAGUCUUUCCAGUCGCCACUUCCAGACAGAGGGGUGCUGGUGAGUCGUCAGACAGGACGAAACACUUCAGUCUUUCCAGUCGCCACUUCCAGAGAGAAACCUCGAGAGGUGACAGUCUCCUCUCCACCCUCUGCAGCGGGCUGUGGCACGAGGACACUUCUGCCUUCUGGUCACCACCAUCCACACCGAAGCUCCUUUCACAUAAGAACCUUCUCUUUCUCAACGCUUUUACUUCCUCACUUCACUCCAAAACGUAUCUAACUUCAAAGAAAGAAGGUAGCACAAUUAAAUUAAAUAAAGAACUUAGGCAUUCUCUACUAUAUAUUAUAGUAUAGUAGUAGUGUCUAAUAUAGUAGUCUAAUAACGUACUGUCUAAUAUAGUAGUGUCUAAUGUAGUACUGUCUAAUGUAGUACUGUCUAAUAUAGUAGUGUCUAAUGUCUAAUAUAGUAGUGUCUAAUAAAGUAGCAUCUAAUACAGUACUGUCUAAUUAGUAGUGUCUAAUAUAAUUAUGUCUAAUAUAGUAGUGUCCAAUAUAGUAGUUUCUAAAAUAGUAGUGUCUAAUAUAGUUGUUUGUAAUAUAGAAGUGUCUAAUAUAGUCUAAUAUAGUAGUGUCCAAUAUAGUAGUUUCUAAUAUAGUAGUUUCUAGUCUAAUAUAGUAGUUUCUAGUCUAAUAUAGUAGUGUCUAAUAUAGUAGUUUCUAGUCUAACAUAGUAGUGUCUAAUAUAGUAGUUUCUAGUCUAACAUAGUAGUGUCUAAUAUAGUAGUGUCUAAUAUAGUAGUUUCUAGUCUAACAUAGUAGUGUCUAAUAUAGUAGUUUCUAGUCUAAUAUAGUAGUGUCUAAUAUAGUCUAAUAUAGUAGUUUCUAGUCUAAUAUAGUAGUGUCUAAUAUAGUAGUUUCUAGUCUAAUAUAGUCGAGUCUAAUAUAGUAGUGUCUAAUAUAGUAGUUUCUAGUCUAAUAUAGUAGUGUCUAGUCUAACAUAGUACUGUCUAAUAUAGUAGUUUCUAGUCUAACAUAGUAGUGUCUAAUAUAGUAGUUUCUAGUCUAACAUAGUACUGUCUAAUAUAGUAGUUUCUCGUCUAAUAUAGUAGUGUCUAAUAUAGUAGUUUCUAGUCUAAUAUAGUCGAGUCUAAUAUAGUAGUGUCUAAUAUAGUAGUUUCUAGUCUAAUAUAGUAGUGUCUAGUCUAAUAUAGUAGUUUCUAGUCUAAUACAGUAGUGUCUAAUGUAGUAGUGUCUAAUGUAGUACUGUCUAAUGUAGUAGCGUCUAAUGUAGUACUGUCUAAUAUAGUAGCUUCUAAUAUAGUAGUUUCUAGUCUAAUAUAGUAGUUUCUAGUCUAACAUAGUACUGUCUAAUAUAGUAGUUUCUAGUCUAACAUAGUAGUGUCUAAUAUAGUAGUUUCUAGUCUAACAUAGUAGUGUCUAAUAUAGUAGUUUCUAGUCUAACAUAGUAGUGUCUAAUAUAGUAGUUUCUAGUCUAAUAUAGUAGUGUCUAAUAUAGUAGUUUCUAGUCUAAUAUAGUAGUGUCUAAUAUAGUCUAAUAUAGUAGUUUCUAGUCUAAUAUAGUAGUGUCUAAUAUAGUAGUUUCUAGUCUAAUAUAGUAGUGUCUAAUAUAGUCUAAUAUAGUAGUGUCUAAUAUAGUAGUUUCUAGUCUAAUAUAGUAGUGUCUAGUCUAAUAUAGUAGUUUCUAGUCUAAUGUAGUAGUAUCUAAUAAAGUAGUGUCUAAUAUAGUAGCAUCUAAUAUAGUACUGUCUAAUUAGUAGUGUCUAAUAUAAUUAUGUCUAAUAUAGUAGUUUCUAAUAUAGUAGUGUCUAAUGUCUAAUAUAGUAGUGUCUAAUAUAGUCUAAUAUAGUAGUGUCUAAUAUAGUAGUUUCUAGUCUAAUACAGUAGUGUCUAAUGUAGUAGUGUCUAAUGUAGUACUGUCUAAUAUAGUAGCUUCUAAUAUAGUAGUGUCUAAUAUAGUAGUUUCUAGUCUAAUAUAGUAGUGUCUAAUAUAGUCUGAUAUAGUAGUGUCUAAUAUAGUAGUGUCUAAUAUAGUAGUAGAAACUACUAUAUUAGACACUACUAUAUUAGACUAGAAACUACUAUAUUAGAC